rnacentral:rRNA from 1 species
AUUGAACGCUGGCGGCGUGCCUUACACAUGCAAGUCGAACGGUAACGGGCCUUCGGGUGCCGACGAGUGGCGAACGGGUGAGUAAUGCAUCGGAACGUACCUUUCAGUGGGGGAUAACGUAGCGAAAGUUACGCUAAUACCGCAUAUUCUGUGAGCAGGAAAGCAGGGGAUCGCAAGACCUUGCGCUGAUUGAGCGGCCGAUGUCAGAUUAGCUAGUUGGUGAGGUAAAGGCUCACCAAGGCGACGAUCUGUAGCGGGUCUGAGAGGAUGAUCCGCCACACUGGAACUGAGACACGGUCCAGACUCCUACGGGAGGCAGCAGUGGGGAAUUUUGGACAAUGGGGGCAACCCUGAUCCAGCCAUGCCGCGUGAGUAAAGAAGGCCUUCGGGUUGUAAAGCUCUUUCGGCCGGGAAGAAAUCGUAUGGGCUAAUACCCUGUGCGGAUGACGGUACCGGCAUAAGAAGCACCGGCUAACUACGUGCCAGCCGCCGCCGUAAUAC